GAGGGUUUCUGCAUGCAUGUAUUUUCUAGUAUACUAGUCUAGUACUGUAGUAGUGCACAUAGUAAGUUGUGUUACACUGUACAAUGCCAUAAAAUACAGAGAUAGAGUAUACGCUAUUGCAGAAUUGAUCUUGGACUUUAUAGACAGUCCGAGUUUAAAAGCCAGAAUGGCCGAUUGCUUUAUUUUUAAAGUUGGCUGAUAGUACCAAGCUGCACUGACGAGGCGUUGAACGCCGAAACAUGCAUG
rnacentral:lncRNA from 1 species